CCUAAUCAAACUACUCAUAAUACAAAAAUGCACAGUUUCUACACCUACUUCCCAUCUUAACCUACAACUUACAUUUUACUCAACGAAAUCAUGCAAAUUACAUUAACCGAAUUCAUUUUUACUAUUCAUAUAGGAGGAAUCACAACUAAUUCGAUUCUUGUUUACUUUUUAAGAUGAUAACAAGAAUCAUGACCCCACCCCCACUCAAUGCCUUUUUCUUAAUUAAGCCUUAAGAUGAGAUGCUAAACAAAUAAAUAUAAAUAGACAAAUAAGAAGUGAUUUAUUCCCACUGCUCACGUAAUACAUUCCCGCAUUCUCUUCAUGAUGUUUAUGAAAUUAUUCAUUUAAAAUCGAGUAGGAAUUUGUUCCUAAAGUACAUUCUACCUAAUAAAUUUCCUGUUACAUGCAAACACACAUUUUCAAAAACACACACUGUAGGCACACAGAAAUUGUAAAAAAAAGAAAAUAGAAAUGAAACAAGUGACUACGAUCCAACCUUUUCAGAUCCAUUAGAUCCUAUACCAAUGUUCAUUCUAAUUUACAUUUUUCCUCACAAAUCGUUCGUCCAAACACACCAUAGUCUUUCAUGAAUAACAAUGUGAAUGCCCACUCUCAAAGUUAAAAUUUGGAAAGGAUACAAUUAAAUCGCUGAUUUAAACUCAAGUGGAAGUUGAAUUUUUUAAUUUUCUUUUGAACUUUUAUUGAUUUAGAACAUUAAUUGGCUUCUGAUGAUUGUUUUCUAUUCUUUUUUAAACUCCUUUUCUUUCUAUACACAAAAAAAAGGCCAGUCCAUGGAUAUUUGCAUGGGAAACAUUAUAAAAGGAUAUAAGAGCGACUUGCUAAUCAGUGAACAGCAACUGUAGACACCUCAAAUUGCAAUGAUAACUCGGAACUUCUAAAUUCUCAGCACCACCCCCAAAAAGUUAACGUUUUGUAAUUUGUUCGUAGACACAAAACCAGGUCAUUUCAAGAAGCAUUCCACGCCUUCAACCUCCACAAAUCUAAUUCACACACCCCACCACCACCUCCCUCGGCCCUCCACCUAAGGCAGGAAAGCAAGGUGGGUUGCCUCCCUCUCUUUGGCAGCCCUCCACCCAAUUAAGAACAGGAAGCCAAGCAUGGUGGGUUGGGUGCGUGGUGCCUGGUUGGAAAAAGGAGGGUGGCUGGUAAGGUGGUGUGAGUGGAGAUCUGGGUCCAAUGGACAGAGGGAGAAGGGGGAGCCAUGGUUAAAAAUGCCUAAAAAAUCUAUAAUGGUCAAAACCUGUGAAAAAUCAUGUAGCGUGUGAAACAUGUUUGGGUAUGAUUGUUGUUGAGGAAAGCGAAAAAUCAGCUGAAUGUUGCCGUCUUCCCAAUCAAUUUGAAUGGAGCAUAAAGUGGAAUAUCAGCAAAAAAAGACCAAAAGAAAGAAAAGAAAAGAAAAAUUUCACAAGUGAACGCAAAUUGUGGCAGUAGUUCCCGAGUUUGACUAAAUUGCAUCAACACAUUCUCAUGCCAUUUAAUGUGGCGAGGAAGGAAACAGACAAGAGACUUUAGAAUUGUCAGGAUAUGGAAUGCCAUAGGCAAUUCAUUGGGCAUAAUACAGUAUGAGAUGUGAUUGGGAGGAAAAAGUACACAUCUUUGAGAGAACAGGGAAAAAUGAGUAGUAGGGAAGAUGAAGAAGAACAAGAAGAGAUCAAGCCGAAAGUUGAUAUCAACAAAAACAAAACAAAACCAGGAAGUUUCAAUAAACUUGAGGCAAAUUGACACAGUAGUAGCCGAAUAUUGACAAAAAUGAUCAACUACUUUUCCUGCCCAUUUUAGAUGUUCAAACAGUACUUGCCAGUCCUUGGGGCAUAAUUUCCAGUAGAGCUGUAGGGGAAUUGUAAGGAAUUUAUGCCAAUGUAGGCACAUGUUAAAAGAAACUAAUCAGAGACAAUGAACAUAAAUUUACAGCAUCCAUCAGGGAGAUUCCAAACAAAAAAAAUAUAAAAAAUACUUUUACCAUGUUGCAUUUCCGUUAGUCAGAAAUUAGAAAAAUACAUAACCUAGUAGCUAAUCCUCGAUCCAAAAGUAAAAACUACUCAUGAGUCAGCUUCUCUCUCUCCUUUUAAAAAAAAGAAAUCAUUAGUAGCAAGCAGGGGCGGUACCAAGGGGGGCCUAGCAGGGGCUACAACCCCCCUCACUUCUAAAAGCUUAAAAAAUUACACUAAUUUUUUUUUUUUUACACUUAGCCCCUGGCUCCGCCGUCGGUAGCAAGUCAGAAAAAAUGAAUUAGAAUGACGGAAUUUAGACAAAACAUUGUAAAACGCGGCUGGGAAAGUUGAGGGGCAACACUAAAUGAGAAACUGAAAGAGGAUGUAAAUAACUCACUUAUAGGCUGCAUCACGGAUUUCAAAAUUUGAUUAUAAUUAUUUAACGAGAAAUAGCCAAUAUUUAGAAUAUUAUAGCUAUGUAAAAGGAUUUCAACAUUGAUAUUGACCUUCGUCAUGCCUGAUUAAAAUGACUAUUUAAUAAGUGCAAU
rnacentral:lncRNA from 1 species